AAUAUAGUGCCUGAUUAAAAGGAUAGCUUUGAUAGAGCUAAUAAUGUAGUUCUCUACCUAUAUUA
rnacentral:tRNA from 2 species